UUAAAAGUCGGCCACUCAG
rnacentral:misc_RNA from 1 species